GGUUGUAGCUCAGUGGUAGAAUGCUUGCCUCCCAAGUGUGAAGCCCUGGGUUCAGUCCUCAGCACCA
rnacentral:tRNA from 1 species